UCACGUGCGUGCAAUUGUGUAAUGUUCUAAACAAUUUGGAAGCAAAAUACAUGAGCAAAACAAAAACAAUAGCACUGCAACAAUAUCAUCAAAAAGGGGAUCAAAAAACGAACACACACCCAAACAACAAAAGAGAUGGAAUAUGAAUAAAACAAUGUAAUUGCAUGGGAGACUUAACUAAAGCUCAAAGGCAUUCGAAAAAUAUUUUGACGGCCCUGAAGGCAUAAUUGAAUGUAAGCAACCCCUCCACACCAGUUAGCCAAGCAACAAGAGCCAUAUACACAACGGUUUGCCGGCCUGCCUCUCUGCUUUUUACAUUGUGUGGCUACUCAGCACAUUGUUGUGUAGUGCUCAGCACUCACAACGCCACUCGCUCACCAAUCAAACCAGCCAAGCCAGCGAACAAGCAAGCAAAAUCAUUCAGUUAACCAACUAACUGACUGGCUCUUGGCAUUUGUUGCUUUUGUUUCAUUUUAUUUGAACGUCGACGUCGCAGUCAACGAUUUUACAACAAACGCACCUAACUACAUACAUACAUGCAUGCAUACACAAAUGUCGUUGGUUGAUUGUGUCGAUGACGAUGACGCCCGAACGCUGGGAUUGACUGACUGAGUCACAGCGGCAGUUCAUGCCUUCAUUGUUUAUAGCGGAGUGUUGCUUACAAGCGCGCUAUUGUUGUUGCUGUGAGUUUUGUUUGGAGCAGACACACACACACGCGCGCACACAAGCAGAGGCAUACAACGAGCUGUGUGGAGCUUCGCAUGUGGCUAGCGCUGACGUUGGCCGGCAGUUGCAUUCGACGCGCCAACGGAACGGGUCGCGUCUACAGUCUACGUGAGUCUGGCACGGCGAGUGUUAGCGAGCACGCGUGUCGUUAAGGUCGUCAACGCGAAUUUUUCCGCUUAGCGAUUCACCUAUAGUCACGUAUAUACAUACAUACAUAUAUAUAUGUAUGAAUAUAUAUAUGUAUAUAGGAGUGAUUUUGUAGCUGCGUCGGUUGCCGUUUGUCGUCAGCAGCAGCGUUGUCAACGCCGUCAUUAGCGGUUCGUGUGUGUAUGUGCGCGCAGUGCUUUUGGGCUGUAGAUCAUGCCAAAUACGGGCCGGCAGUUGACAGGCUAGCACAGUGUGAAUUAGAAUAGAACCAAGUGACAACGAGUGCUCUGCUUGGUUUGGCCAGAAACGGGCGUGUAAAUAAUCCAACAAGCGCAGGCAAAGCAAACGCAAGCAAAAGCCGCAAAAAAUGCAUAGAAGUGUGAAAACUAAAAAAAAUGUGAUUUUUCUAAAGAUUUCGAAGUGCCCACGAAAAAAUAUAAAAAAUAUAAUUUCGCAAAUUCAAGCAAGCAAGUGCACUGAAGUUGGCAGCAACAACAAUAAUAAAGUGUAGUGCGUACAACAUUCCAGUAGCUAAGUAGAAGCAGAGCUGAAAAAGUAUUGAAAAAAAUAUAAAAAAAUUUCAAAAAUAAAAUAAUAAAAUAAAACCGUAUUCACUGUGUGCGUGUGUGAGUGUGUGCGAUCAUUUCAUUGUGCUGUGCGCAGGCGUGCACGCCCUACCCUUACGGCAGCUGCUCCCAGUAACCAACAACAACAACCAUUACUACAACAAAACAAUAAAAGCAAAUUAAAAGUGUUGUUGUUGUGUGUUUCCUCGUAGUUAACGAAUUCAUUUCAAUUUUUUUGUGUUUGUUGUUUUUGUGAUUUUUUGCGCGCGCGCUCAAAUCGCUUUGUUGCCUAGCGAAAUGACUGAUUCCAUGAAAUUAUCCGAAAUGCAACGCAGUAGUAUCGAAUUCGAACGUCAACGACACUUGGCCAACUGGUUUAUCAAGAGUAGCCCGCACAUGGCAACACCAACGACUGUCGGCAGCGUUGCAACCACAGCAACAACAACGGCAACAGCAGCUGGUGCCACAACAGAUACGACCACUACGAGCGCCGUAGCAGCAGCAGCAGCAACAACAAUAAAAAAUACAGCGUCAUCAACAACAAAUCUAGUAGGUGGCAACCAUACAAAUGGCAUGUCGUCGUCGUCAGCCGCCGCACAUCAUCAGCAACAGCAAUUGAAUGCUAAGCAUCACAGCAAUUGUGGUGGCGGCAGCAGCGCUAAUCCACCGCCUCCUGUCUUUUUCUUAGUCUCCAACAAUGGCAACACAAACGGCAAUCUUGUCAAUGGCAGCAAGCACAGCAGCAAUGCGUCACCGGCUGCUACAGGUGUUGCUACGCCGCCCAAUGCGAUAAGUGCUGUCUCCGGCGGUCCGUUAGGCCAUUUCGCGGCGGUCGAGGGACGCAAACCGAAAUUGCGACGCUUCAACUCGCACGACACCAGCGCUAACAUGUUCUCCGUGGCGGACUUCGAGAAUGCACGUCUGGCGCGACGCAAUGAAAUCGAAAUGAAACAGCGUUUGGCACGACGCAUGCGCAUGAGUGCCGGCGGUGGCGGUUAUGGCUCUGCGGCCGUUGGCGGUAUGGGCGCGAAUCUGACCGGUGGCAAUGGUUGCGGACUGGGCGCUAAUGGCAAUGGCAGCGGUGCGGGCAACUGUGGCAAUGGCAGCAUGUGUGGUGGCGGCGAUUACUCCACUGGCGACAGCAAAGCAUCCAAGUACAGCAAUGAGUCCCAGCACGAGCCUCUACCUGCGGACAUCUUUCUCGAUCGCUAUUCAUUGCCGCGCGUAGUGCGUAUCUCGUACAAGACGAAGUUCUCCGACGAAACGCUACAGUCCUCUUCAUCGAAUGGCUCGUCCACGGCCACAACACAUACCACCGGCACCAGCGCCUCGAACUCGUCCGUCAGCGCUUGUGGCAUGACGGUGGCCAUUAACACCGGUACCUCCUCAUCGACGGCCUCCUCAAGCGGCAAUGUGAAUGCGCACAGCUCGGGUGCUACGAAUACCAGCAGCAGUGGUGAAAGAGUGACCGCCAAGCACUCCACCUCGCAUAACACAACAGUUUCGACAUCGGCUGCAGCAGCAGCGGCGUCGUCGGCAACUCAGUCAAAUACAGCAAUUAACGGUAAUGGCAACGCCGAUACGGAUCAUCGCGAUCACGCUGAUCAUGGCGAGCUGUUCUUGCUUUAUCGGCUAAUACGCCAGCGUCACAUUUUUCACGGGCAUAAUGCCAAAACGGCGGCGGCGAGCCGCAAGAAAGGUGUGCUGAUUCCGCAAGAAUUUCCAGGCUACUUUUCGCUGCUCAAUGACAAGGGUAUACCCACAGCCACGCUCUACACCUCACUGAUACAGUUGGUGCGCGAACGUGUUUACAAAUUCGUCUCAGUCGACAAUAUGCCCGCCUUCACGGAAUCCCAACCCAACGUAAAUAACCCACCCACAGAGGGUUGCAUACCAAUAUAUACACAACCACCGCCACCACCGACCAACAAUCGCCCACAGUAUGUGAAGACGACAGCGCGAGGUGGUCAAGUCUUUCGACUGUUAGCCGUUUUCGAAGAUGGCAAGCAAGAUCACACGACAAUCGGUUGUACCGGUGGUGUUACAACAAAAGCGAAUAACAAUCAUGGGCGUGAGAAGGAGAAGGGACGCUAUGCGCAAUUGCUGAAUGAGAAUCGACAGGUGUUGUACGUAUCGCUCUCCACGAAGGGCAAAUUCUACGAAAUCGAACCGGGUAUACCACAAAUACUGCAGAAACUCGGUGGUAUCGCCAAUGAGGCGAAUAAGAAAGUCAAUCCGGAUUGUGUGCAUCGCAUUACGACGUUAAUAACGCCACAACGGGAGUUGCCGUUAACGCUACGUUACAUAUCCGGACCGCAUGGCUGUAGUAGCGCGAUACCCGAGAAUGUUUGCGUUACACACAUAACCACUGAGCAUGUGGUGAUCGCCUGUCCCAUCGAGGAUGUGGAAGUGCAAAGUCCAUUGCAUUUACGUAAACUGCAUCUAUCCAAAGAGAUGAAUUUGUUGAAGAGCUCACUGGGUUUCGAGAGUGAGCAACGCAUGCUGGCAAAUCCCAAUGUGCAAAAUAUAUUGAAGUUCUGUCAAUUCAAUUGUGAUCAAUUUUUGAAAAUGGUUGAGGUGGAGAUACUGCAUCGUCCGGAGCGCUCUGGUUCGAAGAGUCGUGGUGAAGGUUUGAAAAUUUUGAAACCACUACAUCUACCAAAGCUGCUACGACGUGAGAAGACCACAAUACCAGCGCAUGAGAAGGAAGACUCCAUAAUCUUUCUCAGCAAAUCGGAUCUCGCUAAUCUGGAGGCAAAAGAAGCAGCCGCACAAGCAGCCUUUGAAAGCGCAGCAAGCAGCACCAACCGCAUAAGUGAUAAGAUGAAAGUCUUUCAGUCGACAAAGAAGAAAUGGUUCCGCAAACAGGACAAACAUGCAGCGCACACAAUGACCUCCUACGAACUGGAUAUGCAGGCGAAGCGCAUGAGCAUGGAACGCUAUUCGGAUAUGUCGAAGCUGUUGCAGGAACGUUUCGGCGACAAACCAAAUACGCAGCCACAAGACGCGCAUGAAUCAAUUUCGGAACCGAGUGGCGGCGCAUCGGAUAUCGGUUGCUCUGAUACGGAGACCACAACUUUGGCGACUAUUGAUGAAAAAUUCAAGAAAGUCGAAACGAGCGGCAACAAAAUGAUAACCAAAUCCAUGUCGCUGCAGGAUAUUGAGCUUAUAAGCGGCGGCGCCGCUGCACGCAAACCUGAUUUGCUACCAAACACCGAUACCAUCUCAGAGGCGGGCACCGAUCUUGAAGAUCUCGAGAAUCAAGAUCUCAUGCCACAGUCUUUUAUAACCGAAAAGCUUUAUAAUGAGUUCCACGUCAAAACGCGACAGUACAGCAAAUCUUCCUCGAGCCUGCAUCAGCUCUUGAAUUUUUCAUUACCACAAAAAAUGCAGUUACACGACAACAAACGUUCUCUGGCGCAACUGAAGCACCAUGGCAACAAUAGCGUCUUAGCAGCAAAACCAACGUUAGGUGACAAACGACUUGAUUUCAACAUCGGCGAACCCGUAACUGGCAGACGUGCAGCUGGCGGGCUUUCACUGCUUGCCGGCAACGGUGGGCUGGGCCAUUCAAGCAAUCAUACUGCGCUCGCCUCACCGCUGACACCCACCAGCCUAAUUGACGACCUGCCCUACUCAAGCGUGCGCGAUUCGCUGGUGCUCUCAAGCGACGAAUCGGCAUCGGAGAAUCCGGCGGGCAACAUUUGUCAGGCACUCAACAUGAUCGACUACAACAAGGAGAAUAUCUAUGCGGAGAUAUGUCAUGACAAUGUCAGUCACAAUGCUGUAGCCACAGCUGGCACCACGGUCUCGGCUAUGGGCGGCAUUUGUACAUCAGCCACGCGUGACACUUUUUCCGCUGAAACACACUCCACAGAGAUCUCGGACGAUUACGGUGAUUACGCAUCGCUAACAUACACCACAAUCGCACAGCCAUUUAACGGUAGUGCACGCAGCGCGAGCAUUGCCAGCGCGCUCAGCAAGUCGACGAGCGGUCAAACUGUGGUCAGCGCAAUAGCGCCACCCGCAGGCCUGGCGAUCAGUCGCGUACAAAUCAAUUGCAACUCCGUCAGUCCGGUGAGCUAUCACACGGUAUAUUUGGGCGACGAGCCCUUGCAGAACGACAAACAACGCGAUCGCGCGACAAGGCGUGGCAAAGUGGGCAGCAAGAGUCGCGCGCAUGUCACCACAGUGGCGUUGGAGGGCAACUCGGCAACGGCCAAUGAUAUGCACAACAACAGCAACAGCAAUGGCGGUAGUAUUGGCGCUACCGCAGCGAGCAUUGCAAACGAACUGGAGGAGGUGGCUGACAAUAUUUACAAUACACUGAAAUGAUGACUAAUGUGAUUUAGUUGGAAAUUGGGUGCAUCGGUGUUGAGCAUGAUAAGCAACGGCAAGGGGUUCUAUUGAGCCGUCGAGGCGUUGCCAACGUACUUGCUCAGCAGCAAUUCGAACUGAGUGCGUGAGAACUAGUGAUUAAAUCUAAUUUAAUAUUAAACUACGAUUCGAACUGCUCGAAAGAGGAAACAGAUAUGUGAUGUUUAGGGUUUUCUAAGCGAUAAUGAUAAAGGCCUAUAUUUACUUCAAAAGCAAAUAAUUCGAAACCACAAUCAACUUCACCUUAUGUACAUUGUAAAUACAAAAACAUACUAAUUUGUGGCAGAGCAAAUAUACCUAGAUAUUCAUACAAAUAUCAUUACCGACAUAAAUCACAAAUCAUCAAGCAAUUAAUCAAGCCAUCAAUAUAAAUGUGUCACAAUUAAAGCUACAAUAUUUCAACCAGAAGGUUUAAGCAUACAAAACAUAUACAUAAAUAUCUCACAAUCAAAUUAAAUAAAAUAUCAGCUGUCCUGCAAUGAAUUAAAAUUUCACUCGAGACUCAAGAAACUUAAAAAAAACUCAAGUUUAUUUUUUGAAGUAAGUGAAUUUUUUGAGUGUUUUUUUUGCAAAGAAAAUUAUUUGUGAGAAAGCUAGCCCAAAGUCUGAAAAGUAUGGUUCGAGCUUUUGAUAUAUUUGAGCAUCGCCGAAUUUUUAACCUUUUUGAAACGGCUUAUCACCUAGCUUCUGAAAGAUGGAAUACAGUGAAAGCUUGCAGUCUUAAUCAAAGGAUACAAAAUGGCGCACUUGUUCAAUACAUUUACUUUAAAAUUUUUAUUUGAAAUUGAACUUUUGGUGAAAGCUUGCAAGCUCCCCAAAGCUAGUAAUAAAUCAGAGAGCUUUUAUCAGCUUAAAGCACACAUGAAAGCUCUGAUUACGAAAAGAGUAGAACAUACAUGAGUAUUUCUGGUUGUAAUCUCCUUGAUUUCUAAAGCUUUCCAUCAACUAAUUAUUCUUAAUAGCUUUCUAAUAUCUUAUUACUUUUGGUGUCUUUCAACGUACACUUUUUUUGAUUAAAGGAAGUUGGAACUUUGUUAGGCAAAAGCACUUAAUUUAGAAUUAAGUGUUAUGCUUUAUUAACUUUAUUAACUUUCUUAAAGCAUUAAGCUCUGAGGCUUUUUUUGCGUAAAGUCAAAGAGACAGAUGAAAUCUCUAAAGCUUAAGGCUAAAACUUUGAAGAUUGAUGAAAGCUUUUAAGCACAAAGCUUUAAAGAUUGGUGAAAGCUUUAAAGUUUUUAAGCACAAAACUUACUGAAAUAUUUAUUUCAGUGCGUAAACGGCUUAAAAUAAGAUUUUUUUUUUAUUUUUAGUAAAGUGAAUGAGUUUUCAAGAAGUGAAAUAAUAAAAUACAAGUUCUACAGCAAACAAAAUUUUACACCCAAAUCAUGCACAGGAUAAGUACACUUGCAGGACAGCUAGUAUUAUUUAAUAUAUGUAAAAUAUGUAUAUACAAAUAACCCGUCAUAUCUCACCCCUCACAUAAGCAGCAUUAUCGUUCGUGGCAAUCAGUAACUCCACAGCUUUGCAAAUACUGUUUGUAUACUGUAAUCACCAAAUAAAUAUCAAUAGCCAUCUCAGAGCACACAUAUGUAGUAUAACUGUACAUGCCAUUUCACAAACACACAAGCACAGUUAAAGAGGAGUUAGAUGUUAUUGAUAGCCCUACAACCCGACCAUCAAUCAACACGCAAGUCAAAGUCAUUGAAAUAUCACAAACAAAUAAAAAAUAAAAGUAAAAAUAAAAUUAAUUGAGCAGAAUUCAAUAUGAUUUUUGAAAUCGAAUAUAUGCGAUUGCAAAUUAUAAAUAUGUAAAUAUUAAAUUUCGAACCAAAAGCGAUAAGCAAUGAAUUUUAAAUAUUUUCAAUCAGAUAUUCGCACUCCAAUAUCUACAAAGGUAAAUGAAAUGAAAAUUAUUGAAAUAUAAAUAUUGCUUAUAGUAUUGCAAGGCAAUUUAAAUACACGCUACAACAACAAAACGGCUAUACGACGUCUGUAGCUCGAGUAAAGUAUUAAAUUAGCGUAAAAAUAUUCAUUUGUAAUUUUAGCUGUAAAUAAAUAAUAAUUAAGCUUGAAAAAUAAAAGUUAAAAUGAAAAUAAAUAUGUACAGCGGCGGCGCAACAGCAAAUACAUAUGUAGUAGAUAAAAAUAUGUUAUAUCAAAAAAUAUUUAAAAUUUAAAUUACAUUUAAAAUAAAGUAUUUAAUCAAGCAUGCACUUUUAAGAUUUUUUAAAGUGAAUUUUACUUUUCUAAUGUAUGAUUUUGUAAAUUACGUCAAAGGCCGACGAAGAAUAGUAGAAAUGACAACUCAAAUGUAAUAUUAAAAAAAUUAUAUUAUAUAACUGCAAUACACGAGAAAAAAUACAUUUAUAAAAAUAUUAAAAAUUUCAAAUUUUUUGUAAUUAAAAAAAUUAAUAUUUCUUUGUUGUAAAUAAAAAUUGCAAA
rnacentral:misc_RNA from 1 species